AUUGAACGCUGGCGGCAGGCCUAACACAUGCAAGUCGAGCGCGCGGCGGGCGGGUGAGUAAUGUCUGGGAAACUGCCUGUUGGAGGGGGUUAACUACUGGAAACGGUAGCUCAUACCGCAUACCAUCAGAUGUGCCCAGAUGGGGUUAGCUAGUGGGUGGGGUAACGGGUCACCUAGGCGACGAUCCCUAGCUGGUUUGAGAGGAUGACCAGCCACACUGGAAAUGGGGCCAGGGCCAGGCUCCUACGGGGGGGUACAGGGGGGAAUAUUGCAGAAUGGGCGCAAGCCUGAUGCAGCCAUGCCGCGUUUGUGAAGGAGGGCUUCGGGUUGUAAAGCACUUUCAGCGGGGAGGCGUUACCCUCAGAAGAAGCACCGACUAACUCCGUGCCAGCAGCCGCGGUAAUUC
rnacentral:rRNA from 1 species